AUUGAACGCUGGCGGCAUGCCUUAUACAUGCAAGUCGAACGGCAGCGCGGGAGCAAUCCUGGCGGCGAGUGGCGAACGGGUGAGUAAUACAUCGGAACGUGCCCAAUCGUGGGGGAUAACGCAGCGAAAGCUGUGCUAAUACCGCAUACGAUCUACGGAUGAAAGCAGGGGAUCGCAAGACCUUGCGCGAAUGGAGCGGCCGAUGGCAGAUUAGGUAGUUGGUGAGGUAAAGGACUCACCAAGCCUUCGAUCUGUAGCUGGUCUGAGAGGACGACCAGCCACACUGGGACUGAGACACGGCCCAGACUCCUACGGGAGGCAGCAGUGGGGAAUUUUGGACAAUGGGCGAAAGCCUGAUCCAGCCAUG
rnacentral:rRNA from 1 species